rnacentral:lncRNA from 1 species
ACCCGACCUCCUCCACCAAGGGGCUGCCAUGAGCGUCCAAAGGAGCUUUGUGGGCCCGGGCGCGCACAGCACCUGGACGUGCCACUGCCCGGUGCGCAUCCGUGUCAGGAAUUGUCACAAGGACGCACAAGCCAGGAGCCGCUGCAAGGCUGUGGAUGAAGCUUUCUGGUCACAAAGCCCCUUCUCCUGGGGCUGCUGUGGGAGUAGCUCUUGGCACACACUUCCACCCAGAGACUUCACAUCCCAGCUGACGAGGGCACGGUCCUGAGAGCUGGCAGCAAAGAUGGGGUGGGGUGGAUGCUGCUCAGUCAUUGGAGCAGACGGAGUGUCCCAGGAGUGGGCGGAAAAUGUCUCUUUAGGAGCCUGAGGUUGGCCCCUGGUGCCCGGAGCCUGAGGCCCCACAACCUCCCCAUGUCCUCCUCCGUUCCCCACGACUGCUGGUGAGAAGUCCUGCCUGGAGUUUUGCAGGGACCCCUCCCUGGACCCAGAAGGGUCCGCGCUUCAACACUUUCAGAGAUCAUUUAGUCCAUCCUCUUUGACAAACGGGGACCAGGGAGGUAAGGAACUGCCCAGGGUCACACAGGAACCAGACCACACAAUAUCACCACCUCCCUCUGCCCAGCACACUUAAAGCCGCGUGCACCGCGCUCACCAGGAGCAUGUCAGCACCUCCUUGAGCGUCCUGCGGAGCUCCUGGCUGUGGAAGGCGUAGAUGAGGGGGUCGAUGAUGGCAUUGCAGAUGAUGAGGGCGAGAAAGAGGUUGAAGUUCUUGAAGAUGCAGCCGCACGUGGGGUGCUCGGGGCAGAGGACGAUGAGUGUGAGAUGCAGGAAGAAGGGGCCCCAGCAGAGGAAGAAAAUGCCCAGCAGGAUGGUGAGGGUGACAGCGCCUUUAAGGCCAAAGCCCUGGUGGACCGGGCGCUGCCUCUUGUGGAGCCGGGCGAUGCCCUGGGCGUGCUGGCAGGCCCGGGCCAGCAUGUGGACGUACAGCACGGCCAUGAGCACCAGCAUAGCCAGGAAGAAGACCACGAGGCACA